GAACAGCCGGGACCACCAGCACCUAGAAGAAACAAGGAAGGAUUCUUCCCUAGAAGCUUCAGCGACAGUGAGAGCUGCCGACAGCUUGCUUUGCACUCCUGGCUUCCCCGUCCAGGCCUGGAGCCCCGUCCAUAGACUUGCUGGAAGAAAAGAGGAAGUCUGGGUAGAGGUGCACGGAAGCUAGAAGCCAUGGGGGCACGCUGAUUCCUGCUCUGCUGACCCUCAGGGGGCCUGCGAUGCCCUUCAGAUCAUCUGCAGACCUCACACAAGCAGGGAGCCUGGCACAACUCAAAAUAGGCUGUAAAAAGCCAGCACCCAGGGAUUAUAUGGAGGGAGAGCAGAGAUGAUUAACGUUAUUCAUUGAACGUGAACUGAGGUGGCGGUGGAAUCAAUCAAACCUGCAGCAAGUUAUGAACUUGGCUUCAGCGUCAAGUAGCAAGAGACACCACGAUGACGCCUUGAGAACCAUCCUGUGAUGAAGGGAUGAGGUUCUUGUGCCACAUACUGGUUUUCUUGCUUUCUAGAUGGAAGCCAUGGUGAGAGAGCUGCACAGCUCUGGGCAGGGUGAGGCUGGAUUUAUGAAGGGAUCCCCCCAAGUUAAUGCACAUGGUGAAACAAGUGGAGAGGCAUUGUUAAAAAUUUAAUAAUGACUACUUUGGAUCAAAAUGAAGAAAAAAUCGGGUCCAGGUGACAAAGUCCAAAGCAGGAAAUUGUGUACAAGAUGCAACAGAGGGCAGCAGAAGAAGAUAGGAGUUUGGAGUCACAGAUUCAGGUGUGCCUCCCAAUUCCAGCCAAAGUGCCAAGGAAUCUGAGAAUUACCUGGUUGCUUAUAAAAAUGAACGUAGUGAGGAUUAAGCGAGGAAGUGUGGUAUCAUGGAGCAUGAUAGUAGCCUCAGAGGAGCCUGUAUUGGAUUUCAGUUUCUUUUAUUAUUAAAAAGAAUGAACAAUUCUCACAGGAGUAGCACCCAUUUGAGGAAAUAUCUAAGGGCGGUCCUUCGUUAGGAUGGUGUGUUGGCUGAACUUCCUGCAAUGUGACAACAAUUUGCUGACACCCAGGCCUUCACUAGCCCAGCUGUGGUGUGUGGACGCCAGCGUGACAUGACCUGGGAGCUGACAGAGACGCAGAAGCUCUGGUCCUACUCCCAACGCACUGGACCAGAACCUGCGUUAGAUUUCCAUCCGGACUAUACGCCCGUUAGUGAUGGGAUGGGCCACCCUUGCCUACUGGGGAGGGAAGAGGUUCAAGGAUGUCUUGUUGGCUUACGGAAACAUAGAAGUGUGGCUGAAAAUGUAUUAAAUAUAUAUGUAUAUAAUAGAUCAUAAUAUAGUAUAACAUAGCAUAACAUAACACAACAUAACAACACAUCCUACCAAUUUCUGAUUUGGUGAAAUGCUCAGAUUUUAAAAAACAAAUGCUCUCUCCCUCUCUGCUCCUUCCCUACUCAUGCUCUGUCUCUCUCUCUUUC